rnacentral:rRNA from 1 species
AUUGAACGCUGGCGGCAGGCCUAACACAUGCAAGUCGAGCGAGAGGCGGACGGGUGAGUAAUGUCUCGGAAACUGCCUGAUGGAGGGGGAUAACUCCUGGAAACGGUAGCUAAUACCGCAUACCCUCAGAUGUGCCCAGAUGGGAUUAGCUCGUAGGUGGGGUAACGGCUCACCUAGGCGACGCUCCCUAGCUGGUCUGGGAGGAUGACAAGGCACACGGGAACUGAGACACGGUCCAGACUCCUACGAGAGGCAGCAGUGGGGAAUAUUGCACAAUGGGCGCAAGCCUGAUGCAGCCAUGCCGCGUGUGUGAAGAAGGCCUUCGGGUUGUAAAGCACUUUCAGCGGGGAGGCGUUACCCGCAGAAGAAGCACCGGCUAACUCCGUGCCAGCCGCCGCGGUAAUUC